UUUUUCAAUGUUUAUCUUUCACCAUGUUAUUUUUGCAUUUUCACAUGAAAACUUUUGGGUGAGGAAACUAGAAACAGAGAUUUUUCAGUUCGAAGGCAAUGGUAUAACAACCGUGUGUUUUCAGAUUUUUCAAAUGAAUUUCACACUAUCGCUGGAGCAUCUUCAGUAAAAUGCAGCCCUGUUCAUUUAUCUUGACCAUUAGAAGUUGAAUACUCCUUCGGGUGAAAUAUUGAUGUCACCUACUUAUGGUGUGUGUCCUAUGUUCUGCUCUCACUAUACAACAAUAAGAAUAUUAUUCAAAUGGUUCACCACGGUUUCCUAUAUUUCAAUGCCUGCAGGUUUUCCAUCGGGAGAACAAGUUUCUAGAUACCUACAAUAUGAAUACUGAUUGUCUUGUUCUCUGUUUUUAUUGACAUUUUCAAUUAUGCAAUAUGAGUUUUUUUUGCGGGUAAUUGUGCGAUAUGAGUUGAUAUGAAUAAAAUAGCACAAGUAUUAUUGUUGACUAAUUAUUAAAGUACCUCCCUUCCAAGGAGCCCUUGAACAAAGAACAAGGGAAUUUCAGAGUCCUGGUUUCACUACCUCCGAGGAUGUGGGAGCCGCCACCAGCAUUGCUUCAUUCUAGAACUAAAGGUCCAAGAUAUCACAGACUUCAGUGGCUAUAAGAACAACUAUAUCUCUAUUUCCACUAGCGGGUAAAUGCAACCUGAAUGAAGAACGCAAGCUCUACUUCCUCAAGCUAUAUGCUAGGUUGCAUAUAUAGAACAAAGCUUUGCGAGGCAGGUAUGGCCAACAGUGGCCUUUUGGUCGUGAUACCAGGUGUUGUCUCCCCCAGUUCCUAGAACAUCACUCCCAUCUACGACUGGUGGAUGGAGAUCGGGUUCCAAAGGAGGAGAAAGGGCAUUUUCGUGGGGUCACCUCGUACUUCACUUGGCGAAUUUGAAAAGAAUGGAACAGUCAUAUU